rnacentral:rRNA from 1 species
UGCAUGGUUGUCGUCAGCUCGUGUCGUGAGAUGUUGGGUUUAAAGUCCCGCAACGAGCGCAACCCUCGACCUUAGUUGCCAGCAUUCAGUUGGGCACUCUAAGGUGACUGCCGGCUAAAAGUCGGAGGAAGGUGGGGAUGACGUCAAAUCAUCAUGCCCCUUAUGACCUGGGCUACACACGUGCUACAAUGGGCGGUACAAAGGGUCGCGAACCCGCGAGGGGGAGCCAAUCCCAAAAAGCCGCUCUCAGUUCGGAUUGCAGGCUGCAACUCGCCUGCAUGAAGCCGGAAUCGCUAGUAAUCGCGGAUCAGCAUGCCGCGGUGAAUACGUUCCCGGGCCUU